rnacentral:misc_RNA from 1 species
GCAUUGUUGAAGGGAGCCGUUCACACUCCUAUGGAAGGAAUGUACUUGGUAGGAUUGCCUCUAGUCCAGCAAUAUCUCUUUCAAUUUGAUCAUUUGGUGAAAGAGCACAUGCCGAAGUUGGGUGAACAUUUUGCUCAGGAAAUGAUAAAUCCCAGCAUGUAUGCCAGUCAGUGGUUCAUAACAGUUUUCUCGUACUCUUUCCCGUUUCACUUGGCUCUCAGAAUUUGGGAUGUCUUUCUUUUUGAGGGUGUAAAAGUAGUCUUCAAAGUUGGCUUGGCU